rnacentral:rRNA from 1 species
AGAGUUUGAUCAUGGCUCAGAGUGAACGCUGGCGGCGUGCCUAACACAUGCAAGUCGAACGAGAACGGAUUACAGCUUGCUGUAAUUGUCAGCUAAGUGGCGCACGGGUGAGUAAUAUAUAGUUAACCUGCCUCAAAGAAGAGAAUAAUUGUUGGAAACGACUUGUAAUGCUCUAUAUGCCUUUAUCACAUAAGUGAGCAAGGGAAAUAUUUAUAGCUUUGAGAUGGGACUGUACGGUAUCAGUUUGUUGGUGAGGUAAUGGCUCACCAAGACUAUGACGCCUAACUGGUUUGAGAGGAUGAUCAGUCACACUGGAACUGAGACACGGUCCAGACUCCUACGGGAGGCAGCAGUGGGGAAUAUUGCACAAUGGAGGAAACUCUGAUGCAGCAACGCCGCGUGGAGGAUGACACAUUUCGGUGCGUAAACUCCUUUUAUUAGGGAAGAUAAUGACGGUACCUAAUGAAUAAGCACCGGCUAACUCCGUGCCAGCAGCCGCGGUAAUACGGGGGGUGCAAGCGUUACUCGGAAUCACUGGGCGUAAAGAGCAUGUAGGCUGGUUUGUAAGUUGGAAGUGAAAUCCUAUGGCUUAACCAUAGAACUGCUUCCAAAACUGCAGACCUAGAGUAUGGGAGAGGUAGAUGGAAUUUCUGGUGUAGGGGUAAAAUCCGUAGAGAUCAGAAGGAAUACCGAUUGCGAAGGCGAUCUACUGGAACAUUACUGACGCUGAGAUGCGAAAGCGUGGGGAGCAAACAGGAUUAGAUACCCUGGUAGUCCACGCCCUAAACGAUGCACACUAGUUGUUGCUAUGCUAGACAUAGCAGUAAUGCAGUUAACACAGUAAGUGUGCCGCCUGGGGAGUACGGUCGCAAGAUUAAAACUCAAAGGAAUAGACGG